rnacentral:rRNA from 1 species
GACGAACGCUGGCGGCGUGCUUAACACAUGCAAGUCGAACGGAAAGGCCCUGCUUUUGUUGGUUGCUCGAGUGGCGAACGGGUGAGUAACACGUGAGUAACCUGCCCUUGACUGUGGGAUAACUUUAGGAAACUGGGGCUAAUACCGCAGAGGAGCUCCUGCUGCACGGGGGUGGUUGGAGAGUGUCGGCGGUUGUGGCUGGACUCGCGGCUUAUCAGCUUGUUGGUGUGGUAGUUGCUUACCAAGGCUUUGACGGGUAGCCGGCCUGAGAGGGUGACCGGCGACAUUGGGACUGAGAUACGGCGCAGACUGCUACGGGAGGCAGUAGUGGGGAAUAUUGCACAAUGGGCGGAAGCCUGAUGCAGCAACGCCGCGUGCGGGAUGACGGCCUUCGGGUUGUAAACCGCUUUCGCAGGUGCCGAAGCGUGAGUGACGGUACUGGGUAAAGAAGCACCGGCUAACUACGUG